CAGAAAAACAGAGCACACGCAUCUGCCAUCGCCGACUGCUGCGCCGGCGACUACUCCGCCAGCGACUCGUCCUUAUCCUCCUCCGCCGCCUUGGUUGUCGAUCGAUCCUGAGGUGCCGGUACCUGCGAGGUCACGCAUCUGCCUUCCUCGCCUCCUCCCAACCUCGGCACUCAGGCGGUGGCGUGCCAGGUGCUGCCGGUGAGCCGGUCCCAGCUUUUGGGUGGAGUUUCCUGCCUUGCUCGUCACCAGCACGGUCGCCGGCGUCUUACGGAGACGGGCGUGGGCGUUCUUGCGCCGGAGUUGCCGCUCAGUUUGUAGCCGAUCGAUGGAGCUGUAUUCUGGUCAAUUUGAUACGAAUUCCUAGUUCGUCUCGGGAAACUUUACGGCCUCCUUUUUUGGCCACAGAACUUAGUGUGGUGCCUGCCUAGAAAGUGGAAAAAAUAGAAUACAUAGGGGAAGAUGAGAUCAGCAGUUCGGUCCCUCCGGCAGCUCCGCCGUUUCACCCAGCACCAUGCAGAAAGGCACUCAUCAGCAACCAGAUUGAUCAGGCAGCAGAAUGCUUUGAUCAUGUGCAGUUCGACAUCCCGUUCACUGAGCACACUAUACCGUACUGGUGAAAUUAGCCGAUUUGCAAGUCCAGGUGUGGAGCUAAUGAGGUCCAUGUUCUCCACUGUAGCUGCUGAUUCAGUUAAAGAUACUGGAAGAGGUGGUCCAAUGGUGGAAUACGAGAGGAGAAUAGCAUCAGGAGAGCUUGUAGAUGGCGAUAGCUUUCAGCUUAACACAAUUCAACAAUUACAAAGGCUAUAUGAGGAGUUGAUUGAGAAUGAAGAAGACUGCCAGCUGGAUAGAUAUAAGUCAUCUGAGAAAUCAGGACGGAGUCGAUGGCUAUGGUCCCGCCUCAUUACCCAGCCUUCUAACUAUGCUCCAGUUAAGGGGCUGUACCUGUAUGGAGGUGUUGGUACAGGGAAGACCAUGCUUAUGGACCUGUUCUAUGAACAAAUGCCAUCUAAUUGGAGAAAAAAACGUAUUCACUUCCAUGAUUUUAUGUUGAAUGUACAUAGUCAUCUUCAGAUGCAUAAAGGUGUUUCAGAUCCCCUUGAUAUUGUAGCAGCCGAGAUUUCAGAUGAGGCUAUCAUAUUAUGUCUUGAUGAGUUUAUGGUAACUGAUGUUGCAGAUGCUAUGAUUCUGUACCGGCUGUUCAGACAAUUGUUCAUCAAAGGCAUUAUUCUUGUUUCGACUUCUAAUCGCACUCCUGAUAAGCUUUAUGAAGGUGGCUUACAACGGGACCUUUUCUUGCCUUUCAUUGACACCUUGAAAGAAAGGUGCAUUGUGCACCCCAUUGGAUCUGCAGUAGACUAUCGUCAAUUGGGUUCUGCCGAGCAAGGUUUCUAUUUCGUCGGGAAACAUUACAGUACACUUCUGAAACAGAAACUCCAAUCUUUAAGUGGAGAUGAGGAACCCAGACCACAAACUGUUGAAGUAAUUAUGGGAAGGAAAUUACAGGUUCCCCUUGGAGCAAAUGGUUGUGCAUAUUUUCCAUUUGAAGAUCUUUGUGAUAGACCUUUAGGUGCAGCAGAUUACUUUGGACUCUUUAAAAAGUUUCACACACUGGCACUUGAUGGCGUUCCAAAGUUUGGAUCUAGUAACAGAACAGCAGCUUAUCGGUUUGUCACACUGGUUGAUGUUAUGUAUGAGAACAAAGCAAGGUUAUUGUGCACAGCUGAGGCAGGACCGAUAUAACUGUUUGAGAAUAUCGUGACUUGCUGAAGCACACAUUAUUUCACCUAGAUCUUUGCGCUCACAGAAAAGCGACGACCCUGACCUAUGUGUGGAUAACGAGCUUGGAUUUGCAAAGGAUCGUACCAUUAGCAGGUUGACAGAGAUCAACUGUAGGGAAUACUUGGAGGACUUUGAAGCGAUAUUGCGGCAGCACCAGCAGCAACCGUAGCUCUUGCAAGGUGUAGAUAAUGCUGAUGUUGUACUAGCAUAAUAAGCAGCAGCCUUCUGUGCCUCACAUUUGGAAUUCUUGUACUCAGCCCACCUUGCUUACGUAGGAAUCUGAAAAGCUCAACAGUGAUGCAUGUAAAUGUGUAAUAAGUUAUGUAAGGGUAUUUUUGCGAACGGGUGGGUGAUCCAUAAAAUUACUCAUCUAUAUUGAAUUUCUGAAAGAAAAAUGUAUGGUAUCUCACAUGUAACCCAGACCUUCAAAGAGGCCUAUGCUCAAAAA